rnacentral:rRNA from 1 species
AUACGGAGGGGGCUAGCGUUGUUCGGAAUUACUGGGCGUAAAGCGCGCGUAGGCGGAUUGGUCAGUUAGGGGUGAAAUCCCAGGGCUUAACCCUGGAACUGCCUCUAAUACUGCCAGUCUUGAGUUCGGGAGAGGUGAGUGGAGUUCCUAGUGUAGAGGUGAAAUUCGUAGAUAUUAGGAAGAACACCAGUGGCGAAGGCGGCUCACUGGCCCGAUACUGACGCUGAGGCGCGAAAGCGUGGGGAGCAAACAGGAUUAGAAACCCCAGUAGUCC